GAUGAACGCUGGCGGCGUGCCUAACACAUGCAAGUCGAGCGAAGCGCUUUGCUUAGAUUCUUCGGAUGAGGAGGAUUGUGACUGAGCGGGCGGACGGGUGAGUAACGCGUGGGUAACCUGCCUCAUACAGGGGGAUAACAGUUAGAAAUGACUGCUAAUACCGCAUAAGCCCACAGCACCGCAUGGUGCAGCGGGAAAAGGAGCAAUUCGCUUCAGGAUGGCCUCGCGUCCAAUUAGGUAGAUGGUGAGGUAACGGCCCACCAUGCCGACGAUUGGUAGCCGGACUGAGAGGUUGAACGGCCACAUUGGGACUGAGACACGGCCCAG
rnacentral:rRNA from 1 species